rnacentral:misc_RNA from 1 species
CACCCCUCAAACCCCCGGGUUUGACGUUGGGCGUCGCCCCGCUCUGCCGGGCGCGCCUGAAACGCAGCGAUGGUGACCGUGUACCUCCAAGCGCACAGAUGUCGUUAUGCGGGGACGCGGCGGCCAGUCUUGUCAUGUAUCGAU